rnacentral:rRNA from 1 species
GAUGAGCGCUGGCGGCGUGCUUAACACAUGCAAGUCGAACGGAAAGGCCCAAACUUGCUUGGGUACUCGAGUGGCGAACGGGUGAGUAACACGUGGGUGAUCUGCCCUGCACUUCGGGAUAAGCCUGGGAAACUGGGUCUAAUACCGGAUAGGACCACAUUUUGGAUGGUGUGGUGGAAAGUUUUUCGGUGUGGGAUGAGCUCGCGGCCUAUCAGCUUGUUGGUGGGGUAAUGGCCUACCAAGGCGUCGACGGGUAGCCGGCCUGAGAGGGUGUACGGCCACAUUGGGACUGAGAUACGGCCCAGACUCCUACGGGAGGCAGCAGUGGGGAAUAUUGCACAAUGGGCGCAAGCCUGAUGCAGCGACGCCGCGUGGGGGAUGACGGCCUUCGGGUUGUAAACUCCUUUCGCUAGGGACGAAGCGCAAGUGACGGUACCUGGAGAAGAAGCACCGGCUAACUACGUG